rnacentral:rRNA from 1 species
UAACGGCGAGUGAAGCAGCAAUAGCUCAAAUUUGAAAUCUGGCGUCUUCGGCGUCCGAGUUGUAAUUUGUAGAGGAUGCUUCUGANUAACCACCGACCUAAGUUCCUUGGAACAGGACGUCAUANAGGGUGAGAAUCCCGUAUGCGGUCGGAAAGGUGCUCUACACGUAGCUCCUUCGACGAGUCGAGUUGUUUGGGAAUGCAGCUCUNAAUGGGAGGUAAAUUUCUUCUAAAGCUAAAUAUUGGCCAGAGACCGAUAGCGCACAAGUAGAGUGAUCGAAAGAUGAAAAGCACUUUGGAAAGAGAGUUAAAAAGCACGUGAAAUUGUUAAAAGGGAAGGGAUUGCAACCAGACUUGCUCGCGGUGUUCCGCCGGNCUUCUGACCGGUCUACUCGCCGCGUUGCANGCCANCAUCGUCUGGUGCCGCUGGAUAAGACUUGAGGAAUGUAGCUCCCUCGGGAGUGUUAUAGCCUCUUGUGAUGCNNCGAGCGCCGGGCGAGGUCCGCGCUUCGGCUAGGAUGCUGGCGUAAUGGUUGUAAUCCGCCCGUCUUGAAACACGGACCAAGGAGUCUAACAUCUAUGCGAGUGUUCGGGUGUCAAACCCCUACNCGUAAUGAAAGUGAACGGAGGUGAGAACCGCAAGGUGCAUCAUCGACCGAUCCUGAUGUCUUCGGAUGGAUUUGAGUAUGAGCAUAGCUGUUGGGACCCGAAAGAUGGUGAACUAUGCCUGAAUAGGGUGAAGCCAGAGGAAACUCUGGUGGAGGCUCGCAGCGGUUCNGACGUGCAAAUCGAUCGUCAAAUUUGGGUAUAGGGGCGCAAGAGUAAUCGACCCAUCUAGUAGCUGGUUCUCCCCGAAGUUUCCCUCAGGAUAGCAGUAACGUUUUCAGUUUUAUGAGGUAAAGUAGANGAUCAGAGGCCUUGGGGUUGAAACAACCUUAACCUAUUNUCAAACUUUAAAUAUGUAAGAAGUCCUUGUUACUUAGUUGAACGUGGACAUUUGAAUGUAUCGUUACUAGUGGGCCAUUUUUGGUAAGCAGAGGUGGCGAUGCGGGAUGAACCGAACGCGAGGUUAAGGUGCCGGAAAGUACGCUUAUCAGACACCACAAAAGGNGUUAGUUCAUCUAGACAGCAGGCCGGUGNCCAUGGAAGUNGGAAUCCGUUAAGGAGUGUGUAACAACUCUCCUGCCGAAUGAACUAGCCCUGAAAAUGGAUGGCAUUCAAGCGUACUACCAAUACCUCGCCGCUAGGGUAGAAACGAU